UGUGAACAUAAGCACUGCACAAGUAGUUAAGUCUCGCUGCUGUCGCGACUAAGUAGGUCUGAUUAGAGAAGGUUAAGUGAAUGAUUAUUGAUUAAUCUGUAUUAGACUAGCUAAUACACGUCAUUGAGAUUAAUAUGAUCCCAAUUAGAUAUCCAUCCCAUUUUCAUUAAUCAGUCGCAGUGGCAUCACUUCAGCAUAUUUUGUUUCUUUCCCUCUUAAACCCGCGUCUUAUCCAUUCAGCAAUAAUUAAAGAAGACUGUUGAGUAAAUAAUCACAAUUAGGCCUAACAUUCUCUAUUGGAAAACCAGAUGCACAUAAUUAUGUAAAGUACUGAUACAUUUAUAUAGAGAGCUGUGGCCUGUGGGCUCUUGUGUCUGAUUUCAUCAUCCAUGAUGCAAGCUAGCUAGCUGUUUGAUUGUGCCGUGGAGAAAAUAUUUGUAAAGCCCGUUGUACUAAAAGGUCAAUUGGACACGUCUGGAUUUUGGUGGGGAAGGGGGAUUUGAAAGAACUAGAAGCCACUUGGAUUAGGACAAACAUAAAUUAAAUAAUAAAUUUACGAGAUGGGAACGAAGGUGACACCACUGCUUUUUAUUUAUAAUUUAGUUGCGGGAUGGAGAAGGGUGUGAUUGGUUUGCUUCGACCGAUUGAAUUCUUGGAAUUCAAAGGAGACCUCACUUGUUCAUACUUCAUAGCAAGCAACAAAUUCUACUAACUAGUCAAGCCGGGGAAGAAUGGAGAUUACACUUCAAGCUGCGACCUAUAUCCAAAUUGAAAAAGUCAGAUAGGAGAUUUGUUUUUUUCAUUCUUGGAGUAACUUAUUUUUAUCUUGCAUUUUGUUUUGAUACUUUAGAAGGUUUUUGGUCCCUGAUUAUUGAGACAGUUAAUAAGAAUUGAAACCUUAAACUUCUGUGUUGGUAUAUGUAUUGGAUUUAUGGUAUGGAAUGAGAAUCGUAUUCUCACUUCAUGGAUGAAUCAUUUAUUUCACAAUCUUUAGAAUACUCAUUCUCAUUCUGAUACCAUUCAUUCUCGAUUCUCUUUUUCAUCUACUAUCCAAACGUACUUCUAAACGUCUUCUUAGAUAUCCUUAUUGACGUAGAUUUUACUUUUGAAUCAUACAGGUGAUGGUCAUCGAAGUCUUGCAGAAUGAAGCACAUAUUUUUUUUAAGAUAAUAGGGUUUCUAAAAUGCAAAAAAUAUAUAUUUGUUUUUAACGCCAAUUCUGAUUGGAAAUUUAGAAAAAUUUGAUGAGAGUUUUGUGUUUGUUAAACAGGGAAAGUUUUUUACUUGUUAAAUAUUGUGCUUGUUAGCGAGAGGUAAUGUCGUACUUAUUAAAAGAGUCAUUUGUUUUAGGACUUUAGUCUAUAUUCUCUGUGUUUGCCGUGAUUGAUAUUGGACAGAGGAUUGUAUUUGCUCUAUUGGGUUAAACAUGAAUACACACUGAGUAAGCACAUUUUGCUCAGCAAAUCAGUUAAAAAAAUAAGAUAUGUAAUGUCUUCCUUAACAAAAGAAAGGAAAAUGUCUCUUAUUUCGAAAAAUCUAUGACUCAGAUAUCCAUCUUUGUUCAAAUUAGCGUGAUAUUUUAUGUUCUCAAAUUUCGACAAUCUUGUUUCAAAAAUUAAUAAGAUUUGCACCAUCUUUGAUGAAUUAUUGUGAUAUCAGUUUGCAACUCAAAACUCAAUGAAAAUGUGAUGAUCCAACAUUAAUCUGACUUUUUAUCGUAUAGGAGUACCAUUCUUACAUUAUAAAAAGAUAAUUAGUAUAAGCUAGUCUUAUAAUUUAUUGAUGAAUAAGGUCGAUUCACCCUAAACAAGGCGAGGCUAAGUAGGAUUUUUUUUUUGAUAACAAAAUUUAAAAUAGGUGAUUGAGCUCAAGAAAUAUCGAAAAUAUUUUCUUCUUAAAUUGUCGAAGUGAGUAAGGCACACUUGUAGGCGAUGUCGGAUUUUUCAUUAUGGGUCAAGUCUUGUCUUGGAUAAAGGUGAUAUCUGGUGAAUACGGAGAGUGGAAUCAUCUGACAUAUCAUUUAUAGACCAAUCGAAUAUAAUAUAACGCUUUUCUUGCAAUCAGUUACUCCUUCUGUCCCUCUCAUUUCUUUACAGCUACUAUUUUGCGAUGUCCCUCUAAUUUCUUUACGUUACUAUAAAUAGUAAGUUUCUCCUAUCAUUACACCCAUUAUCUUCCUCUACUACCUCGUAUUUAACAAUAAAAACUACUAUUACACCCACUACUUUCCUCCACUAUCUCAAAUCUAUUAUUAAAUAUUGAUAGUUCCCACCACUUUACCCACUUUUCAUCUAACUUUACUUAUCUUUCAUACAUUAUCUUGGUCUCCGUGUCCCCCUCCAAUAUAAACAAUUGAGGGGGACGGAGGGAGUAUAUAACAUCAAAACGCACAAUAAAAUACAUAUCAAAUUCAAAAAAACUACUGCAUGACGGUCCAAGAGAUCCAACAAUUUUACAUCAGCUAGCAAGUUCAGUAUACAUUUGCCUAACACCUUCAGUAUAUAUUAGCUAGCAAAACUAGAAAUUUCGGCAUACAUUUGCCAGUAUUUACGAUAUCAUUUGAUGAAAUUUGUAAAAAUCUCGAACAUUCUGAAUCUUAUUCUCGGCAAAUACUAUAACUUUUUAUGCGUAGAAGUUGAAAUAGGAACAAUAUACUGUCAUAUUUCUUUUGACAAACAUAUACUGCUAUAUUUUAGUUUCAAAAAUUGAGAUAAUUCCCAAAUUUCCGAUUACCGUAAAAUCCAAAAGCCCCUCAACCCAACACAACCAAAAGACCCAUGACAAUAUAACAAGAGCGCGCAUUUUGAAGGGUUGUGGACUAGCCCAUUUAGGCCUCGGUCAACAGAUUGAGGCCCAAAUCAUCCCCUUCUUCCCCCGCUUUUCCUACUCAACACCGUCGACCGGAGCUGCCGGAGCUUCUCCCCCUCUACUAACCAAGAUUGCAUGUACAGGUACACGAAGAAGUGAUCAUUGCGAAGGCGCAUGUUGAAGAUGGCACAAGUCAGCAGAGAUACCCUAAUUGAUUUAUUGGUCGAGUCAUCCAGAACUUGAACAACGAGGCAUUGUGAUGGCCAUGAAAGUGAACAGACAGCUCCAAUUGACAGCUUGUAAACCUAAACCAAGAGGAAAUCGGAGAUGUAUGCAAAUCACUAAAGUAUUAAAGCAACGAGUACUCUACAAGGUAACAAUUACUUGAAGAAUAAAGUAACAUAUCCAUUUACAAGAGUCCACUAAUUUUUUUUCUAUUUGAUGUUAAUAAAGGAUCUUUAUGAUGCUUGCUUGACAUAAAGGCUUUACACAAUCUUUGUGGAUAAUCCGAAUUUUGUGUUGAAUUAUUUCUAUGAUUGCAUUCAUGUAUAUCAAUUUUCACACACAAACUGUUUAACUCUUACAAUGUUAUGCACAAAUUAACAGAGAUAAUAUAAGUAAAGCUUUGCGCUGUACCUCUCUUUCAUUGUACAUAGGUAUUUGGACCAACACCUUGGGAUAUUCUUUCUUCUUCUUUUCUACCUCAUCCUUUAAAGCGUCCAACCUGUACUUGGUGUAUCUUUUCUUCCCCAGAAACUUUAUGCCCAAGAUCACACACGUCAUGUAAAGCCUCUCUAUAAAAAGCAUGAUAGACAUGGCUACACAUAUGCAGAGUGCGACAUUCAGAAUUGGGACAAUUACAGUGACUCGUUUUUUCUGCCAAACGUCAGUUAGCAUUCCGGCAAUAUUGCUAGUUGCUUUCACCUCAGGCUCUUCAUGAAAUAUAUUCCUCAUGGUGAUCGAGUUGAUGCCUAACAAAUCACUGGAAUAUUAAAAGAGGCUCUUGAGAGAGAGAAAAAAUGGAAUUAGUACAAGCAGUGCAUCCAAUUGAGUGCGGAUAUGCAUUUGUGCUUAGACAGAUAGUAAAAAUUUUGGGUGUAGAUAAGGAUGUGCGCUGGGAUCAGGUGGAAGAACCGCGUGCGAUGAGUUAUAAAGUAGAUGUAGUAGGUGAGACGCUAGGUGUAUAGGCAGGUAAAGACGUUGCCGAGUAGUAACCUGUUAGCUGGAAUUUUGGCUUUUUCUGCAGCAUUAAGUGGAAGUCCGAUUAACAGAUGUUAGCUGGAAUUAUGACCUUUAGUGCCGUCAAUUAAUGGGGUGUAAAACCAAUCUAUCCAAGCUAAUGCUGUAGUUACUCUGAAAUAUUGCUUGUGUCUUACUAUUUAUUACCGCACUUAUUACUGACACCCAACUUAUUUUGUAAUUAUAUUUUUAUAUAGAUAAUUUGUUGUAUAUAUUAAAUCGCGGCACAUCAUGACAUAUCUAGAAUAUUAUGAUCCAUAUUUUGUAUCAAUUUGAGUUAGGAAGUAAUAAAGGGACCAUAUUAAUGUAACAUUGUGCUAUUAUUUAUUAAGUCACUCACAAAUUAGGAAGGUCUUAUUGCCGAGAUGUCUCUGUCAUUUUCGAUAUUCUGUACUAGAUCACCUUGCGAGAUGGCCCAUCUAAGGCAGGAUGUCAUGUUACUUAUUAGAUGCUUCUAGCUAUGGCCCAUCGUGGCUGGGAGCAUGAAGAACUUCUGUCAUUGUUCGCUUUAGUGCCAUCUUAAUUUUGCAUAUUCUAAAUAUUCUCUGGAACAUAUUUGCUUGCUUUUUCUCAUGCACCUCUCUGCAUAUAUCACAUCUAUUUAAGGUCUUUUUCAAAUCCUUACUAUGUUGCCAUGUUACAAUGAUUUGUUACAAGGUUAAUUUAAUCUAGGAAAAUUCAUUCAUUUGCUCUAUUAUCUGAUUUUUAUGGUUGUAACUGACUGCUUAACAGAUGAGGAAAAAAAUAAUUAACUUUAUAUGGUCAAAGAAUUCUGUGAUGGAAUUUCUUGCUCCUGGUUGGAUGCUAAAUUAUACUCCUUCCGUUUCACAAUAGUCAUUGACUGUUGACUUUUGUUAGUCAAACUAACCAAACUUUGACUGAAAUUUACAUAAAUUAUUCUCCUUCCAUCCCACAAUAAUAAUCCUAUUUUAACUAUUAUGUACUACCUCAACCCACUCAUUUAUAUACAGUUUUUUCCCAUUGUUAGGGGCUUCUAUAAAGUAUUGUUCUAUUACUUAUUUUUUUUUUUAAAUUUGUUUCUUAAUAAAAAUUUAAACAUUACUCCCCUGUCCCAACCAUUUCUUUACGGUUAUCUUUUUGGGGUGUCCCAUCCAAUUCUUUACAUUUCAAAACUUAUCAAAAAUAGUCAAUGGGUCCAACCACUUCCCCACUAAUCUUCCCUUUUCACACUACUUUUACUCUAUUAUUACCCUUUUAUACAUUAAAAAUCAAUGGGUCCCACCACUUCACCCACUUUUCUUUCUCUUUUCCACUACUUUAUACAUAUUUUUUAACCUCCGUGCCCAAACCAUACGUAAACAAAUGGCUGGGACGGAGGGAGUAGUUUUUUAUUCAGGAGGAAAAAAAAUCGAAAUAAGUUAUUGAACUAUAUUUUACGAGUCUUAGAAUAUGUGUCGAGCCCUGUCUCCCAAGCACAUGCAAUUAAUCGGGACGGAGGGAGUAGUCAAGUUAAUCAAAGUUUGACUACAAAUAAAAAAAAAUAUGAAUCUAUAAUUUAAAAAAUUUAAACUAAAAUAGUAAAUUAGAUAUUUUUUAGUAAUAUGAUUUUCAAAAUUUUCUUAAUCAUAUAGUAUGUGUAAUUUACGGUCAAAUUUGGGUCAAGUUGACCAUAGGCCAAUCAAAACAUGACUAUUAUUUUGGAUUGAAGGGAGUAUAAUUAAAAAAAUUAAAAGUUUAUCACCAAAAACUUAUGUAAUUCUCAUUGAACAGUAUUUUUCAACUUCUCAAAAAUGUAAAAGAAUUAUUUAUUAUAUGUGGUCAAAGUUUGGUCAAUUUGACGGGCUUAAGUCAAAAAUGGACAAACGGAGGGAGUAGCUCUUAUUCACGGAUUAGUUAUGAGAGUAUGAACAUUGUUUUUUGUGAGACUACCAUCUUGCUUCUAAUCUUUCCUCUGUUGUCCCGGAUACCUGGGUUCCAGUUUCGCUCAUCUUCAAGAAGUAUUAGAACAAAUACUCAUUUGUAAGGCAUAUAAGCCUACAUAUUCAAAAAAAAAGAACACUUUGGAAUAUAGUGUGCCUCUCUUAAUCGUGGAUGAGUCAUGAGGGUAUGAACUUCGUCAUCUUAGGGGUCAUUUGUUAAAUCUGAAUCAUAUUUUUUGAAUGAGUGAAAAAUCUGAAUGACUAUAAUUCUGAACGAAUAAAUUUUGGAUCAUUUGUUAAAUUGAAAUCUGAAUGACUAAAUUUUUUAUAUUAAUUUUAUUUCAUAAAUAUUGUAUAUUUAAAUGACAAAAACUUCUAAGUGAUAAUUUGUUAAUUUAAUAUGAAAGAAUAUAUAAUGCAAAUUUUCAAUCAAUAAUUUCGUAUAACGGUAAUAAUAUGCAUUAAUAUAUUGACUAUUAUAUCAAGUAUAAAGUUUAAAUCUCGUUAAAAAAAUUAAAUAUCUAUAUUAUUAAUUUUACAACUAUAAAUAUAUUAUGAUAUAAUAAGUUACAUGUUAAAAUAUACUAUAUUAAAGUGAAUAUGUGAUAACAUGGUACGCAGGUAGUAUAUUUGGACCAUUUAGUAAAAUUUUACGGCCUUUGUCGUCCAGCUGAAUUUUUUUUCGUCCAGCUCAUUUAGAAAGUAAACAAACAACAUGGAUGAUUAACAUUUGUAUCGUUCAGAGACAUUUGACUCAUCCACCCGUUAACAAAUGAAGCCUUACUUUUAUCGUUUUCUUAAAUAUACUCUAGAACAUAGUUGUGUGCCUCUCUUCACUUCACCACCAUACCUUUGAAAUUUUGCAUACAUUUUUGUGAUGAGCUGAGAUAAAACGCAAAUAAUAAGUAUCAAGGAAGUUUUGUUAUUUUGGCAUAUAUGAACGAUUUUCCCUGUAAUAUCAUCUUCAGUAUUUAUGUAUUCAUUAUUUAUUUAGAAGUUGAUAUAGUUCCAAGUAUAGGUGAGGGGAGAGGAAAAAAACUAUAGACCUCUUCAAGUACUUGCAGCUUCUUAAAUUUUUUGAAAGGUGUAUGUAUAUAUAUCACAAUUAGUUGUUAGGUGGGAGCAAAAUCCUAAAGUAUAGAUUGAUAUAAUUUUAAAAUUAUGGAUUGAAAAAAAGAUUAGAUUAUCAAAUACACAAAACAGUUUCAGACUCCUUCUCUCUCCGCUCUUCAAGGCGAGUGUAUGUAGCUCUAAGAAACAAAUAAAAAAUGAUUAAUAUUCGUUUACUCAUGACUGAAGCUACAAUUGAAAAUAAGUAAACCUUGGUUGGUGUUGCUCUGUUCUUGAUUUCUGUAAGGCUCAUAAAAGACACAGUGCCUGAUACCUGCACAAAGAAUGCUGGCCGCAGGUAAUGAUAAAUGCACAGGGUAUGCCUCUUUGAAUUUUUUUCAGUUUUUUUUGGCAACUGACAGUACAGUUCCCUGCAAUUUGCAGAUAUUUUGAGAAAGUCUGUUCAAAAUGCUUUCUGUAUAUGUUUGAGCAUGGUACUUGUCUAGUUGUCCCACUCUUCAGGUUUAUCGUAUUUGAAGGGGAAAAAAAUCAAUGCUGAUAAUCAAUCGAAAUGAUGGAUAGUAUGUGCUUAAAGGGAUAUCUAGAAUUCCUAGAUGUGGUGGACAUCCUUAAAACCUGGUCUGGAAUUUGAAGAAAUGAUGUAACAAUGCGGUAUAUAGAGCCAGGUAUAUGACCAGAUGAUAGUCGUUAUGGGGAGAACCCAAAUAGGUUUUAAGACAUACUCAAUUCCAGGUUAUUUUGAAGCCUGAUCCUAGAAAUUCACAGGAUUUGUUUAUUCAAAGCUUGGUUUUGGUAUCAGACUAUCUCAAGAAGUUGCUAGAUAAUUCAUGGAUGUUUAAUUGUCUUCUUAAUGGUAGGCCUGAUCAAGAAUUUCAGCAGUACAAAUGGAAGCCAAAGGGCUGCAGUUUACCCAGGUAGAUCAGCAACAAGUGCAUAUUACUACGGAGCAGUGGGAGCAAUGGUAGUAUAUGACAUGACAAAGCGGCAGUCAAUUGAUCACAUAACUGGAUGGCUCGACAAACUCAGGGCGCAUGCUGACAAGAAUAUUGUAAUUAUGCUCAUAGGCAACAAGUCUGACUUGGGAAUUCUUAGAGCAGUACCAACUGAAGAUGCCCAGGAGCUCGCAGAGAAGGAAAAACUAUGAAUGGAGACAUCAGCCCGUGAGGCAACUAACGUCGAGACUGCCUUUGUGACGGUCCUAACAGAAAUAUAUCAUAGGAAAAAAGACACUCACUGCUAGUGAUGUAGAUUAUGCAAAGUCUGCAACUCUCAAGGGAACCAGUAUAGUCAUUCCUGGCCAGGAGCGGAAUACUAGUGCAAGUAGUGGUGGGCCUGGUGGCCGUUGCGCAUAAAUCUUUAUCUUUUGCCUUUAAGGUCUUGUUUUUUACUUAGGAAUAUAAGUAUGUUAGGUUAGGAUAUUACUGUUCAAACGGAAAUUUUAAAAUUUUCAGCCAAAAAGAUUUUCUGCAAUCUAGCCAAGCCAGGCUCAAAGAAAGUCUUUUUUGUU